ensembl:lncRNA
AGAAGUGAUCACAUUUAAGUACAGUUUUACUUACUUCUUGACUGAAGUUAAUAUACCUGUGGCUCUGUGCAGGAUCAGCAAGAAGUGCAGAUCAGCAACAUUUGCUCAGGCUUCUGCAUCCAACCAGGCCCUGGGCACCACAUGGUGAUGUCACUGUGGUGAGUGGUAGGUGCCAUGAUUACAUUUGAGCAUCUUCCAGCGGAACCCUCAGACAGUUCCAUUGGAUUUGGCUUGCUGACCAGCAGGGCGGAGACUGUCUCCUUGCAGAAAUGGCUGCAAGUGCAAACUUUGGGCAGAUGGAGGCAAGAGAAAGUGAACCAUGUGCAGAAACUUCUGAUUCAGAGAACCUGGCUGAGUCCUCAGGCUUCCCUUCUGCUGAUCCUCCAGGACAGGAUCAAGGAACAUCUGGUGAUGCUGCCAUAGCAUUGAUAAUAGAUGGAAAGCAGACAGAAACAUUUAUUGAUUAAGACAAAAUCAAAUAUUUAUCUCAUACUUUUUCUGAAGAAAGCACUGGCAAAGCCAGCAUCUUCUCUGCCCUCAGCUUUCCAGAGAAACUCUGGGUGUUGGCUGAAAGUGACCAAUUUGAGAGCAUUCGGUGGGGUUGCGGUGGAAAGUGUGUUGUGAUCGAUGAAGUAGUAUUUCAGGUGGAAGUACUGGGAAGGAGAAGGCCUUGGAGAGCUUUUGAGAUUGAAAGUAUGAAGACUGAAAGUUUUGUUCAACAACACAAUCUAUAUGGAUUCACCAAAACACUACCUGACUUCAGAAGACCUCCCUCGCUUCCCAGAUUUCUGGCAGAGGAAGAAGCAUUUGCUGCCCAUUGGAAGGUACAUCUGUUGCUUCAUGUGUGAACCAACUCAAAAUAUUCUGGUGAGAAAGAUGGGGGGCCCGAUUAAACAUGCCUUGGUAAUAGAAGAGAUGAGGAGAAAUGAAAAUGUUCUGAUCUUCAUUGUUUUUUUUUGGCUGUUGGCAGCUUUUUAGAGGUAGUAUUGCUGAGUUGACGAAAUGUGAAUAAAAUGUAUUUGGG